ACCAGAUUCCUGAUAGGCAGACACCGAGGGAUGGAAGGCCAAAUUGUGAAAAGCUAAAUCCUUUCUGCAAAGCGGGAGCGGACUCCUGUGGCUGGUUCCCUGGAGCACGACCUAGGAACUGCCGUUACGUGCUCUGCGCGAUAUGAUGCCAACUGAAACUUGCUACAAAAUAACCCACUUGGGUAUCUGUUGGAGGAAGCAGAACAAAGGAAACAAUGUUGAUUUGAUGCUGUUCUAUGACUCAAACUACCUCCGUCACAAGCUGGUGCAAGAGGUGGCACCUACACCCCCCAGAGGGCCUGUAAGAGCAUGACCCCAGUCUCACCCAGUCUCACUGAGUAAUAGAAGUCAGUGCAACUUGAUCCUUUUUUUCAGCUCUGGAAGGUGCAGCCUCCUUGGCCCUGCUCUGCCUUGCCUGGUCCCACAGCCAGACUGGAGUGAGGAGCACCUCCCUCAGACAGAUGCCAUGCCAGCACUCUGCCUUGCAGAGGCAUCAUCCUCUGCCAGAAGCCCAUGGAAGCCUCAGAGCCACAGGAGCAAAGUCUCUCUCAGAGGAAGACACUGGGGUGCAAGGUAUCCCCUGUGCAGCCGCCAAGUUCACCACUUGCAAAAGCACAAUAUCACUUCCUCAUCAGUGGGGCCCAUCUGUUCCCCAGAGGCAUCCUCAGCUGGAGCAUGCCCACCAUCUGAGUGCCCUGACUGCCUGCAAAGGAUCCACGACCAGAGCAUGCAACUGAAGCUGUAACUCAGCGCAGGGGAUGGAAACUCCCGCCUGGACCCAUGCAGCAGGCAGAGCAUAGCCUGUGCCCCAUAAGAAAAAUGAGAAGAGGACCCAGGAUGCAAGCAUGAGUGGAGUGGCUGCCAUCCAUAAGACUCUUCAAAAGAGGCUUGCAGACAAGGAGAGGCAGCACUCCUCUUCACAGCCCCAAGCUUUAUAUCUCAGCAGCUCUUCCCAACAAAAGUACGAACUUAAACUCUCCUGGCCCCUGAAUUAGAUCAACAGGAUGUACAAUUUUGGUUGUAAUUCAGCCUUUUUUGAGAACUCUCAAUUCUCAUCUCUACAUUGACACAACUGGAAAGUCUGAAUACCAAAUAGAGCAUUUACUUCUGCCAGACAUACUCACAGGAGGGUCCAGUUGGCAGUGUAUCUAACAGUACUCUGGGUGAGGGUUUUUCCCUCCCAGCCUUGCUCCUGUAAGAACAGCCAGUAAGCACACCAGCUGUACAAGAUGGAAUGACACAAUGCUUAUGAGAGGGGCACACACAAUACUCAACCCACAUGAACCUAGAAAAUGAGCAAUCCAAAACAAGAAUGAGCCAGCUUUUUAGGAACUGAUGGGGACCAACAUCCAAGAGACUAUUAAGUGAAACAGCAAGGUGAAAACAGUACACUCGUGUGCUGCCAACUGAGAAUGCCCAGUAGUGGUGUUGGGCAGAGACAGAGUGGGUCCCAACUCUGAUAUAAGGAAGAUCAGCCACCAACCUGAACCCUGCUUCUCCAUAAGCUGGGAAACCGGGGCAGAUUAAGUCCGUAGGUCCUGAAUGGCACACUGACCUCAGUCCUUAGAGAUUCUGUGUUCUCAAGGGGUAAGCCAGGGAUGCCCAGCACAAUCACUGUUGAGCUCCUCUAUGAUCCUAGUGCGGUGCUAGGAGGCCACCCGUCCCAACUUGUUAUCCCAGUCCACACUCCUGGGCUGUGUGUGUGGCUCAGAGUAAUGGCAGUGGGCAAAAGGAUCUUCUCAGUGGACAUUCCUACAACAGGGGCCACAGUGGAGAAAACCAAGGCCACUGUCACCCAUGGAACAGGAGGGUAAGCCUGGAUAUUCUGUUUCAGACAUCAAUGCAAGAUGGGACAAAUAUACCCUACAACCCAGCAAUUCCACUCCAGGGUAUGUAUCAACAGAAACAUGAGUACCAAGAAUGGUGGGGUCAGCAUGCUGAGAACAACCACAACUGAAAAACACCUGCAUGGCUACGGCCAAAGUGUAAGUGAUGCCUAAAUCAUGACUUAGCUAUUCAAUAUAAAACAAAGGAACUAAUGCUACACACAACAUCAAAGAUAAAUCUCAAAAUUGUCAUGUGAUAAGCCAGAAACAAAAGAAUACAUUCUAUACUGGAGUGCAAGACUUCUUAAUGGUGACAGAAGUGGAGGAAGUGGGGUCAGGGAGAGAAGGAGGUGGGGGAAGGGUGGAAAGUGAUCAGGAAAUAGAAUAAGAGUGGCCUCUAGAGAAAUACUCUAUUUCUUGAUCUGACCAGGGUGGGGGUUACUUGGAUACACUGACUUCAUAAACAUUCAUUGAAAUGUAAAACUUACACCUUGAGUACUUUCUUUGUAUGUAUGCUAUCU